GAUGAACGCUGGCGGCGUGCCUAACACAUGCAAGUCGAGCGAUUCUCUUCGGAGAAGAGCGGCGGACGGGUGAGUAACGCGUGGGUAACCUGCCCUGUACACACGGAUAACAUACCGAAAGGUAUGCUAAUACGAGAUAAUAUGCUUUUAUCGCAUGGUAGAAGUAUCAAAGCUCCGGCGGUACAGGAUGGACCCGCGUCUGAUUAGCUAGUUGGUAAGGUAACGGCUUACCAAGGCGACGAUCAGUAGCCGACCUGAGAGGGUGAUCGGCCACAUUGGAACUGAUACACGGUCCAGACUCCUACGGGAGGCAGUAGUGGGGAAUAUUGCGCAGUGGGCGAAAGCCUGAUGCAGCAACGCCGCGUGAGCGAUGAAGGCCUUCGGGUCGUAAAGCUCUGUCCUCAAGGAAGAUAAUGACGGUACUUGAGGAGGAAGCUCCGGCUAACUACGUGCCAGCCGCCGCGGUAA
rnacentral:rRNA from 1 species